UAUAAGGGUGGCAGAAGUGCAGAAGACUAAAUGUACAGCCUUAAUGGCUCCUCAAUGUCAAAGAAAAUUCCCUGAUGGGAAAAAAGUGGGACCUUGAGACUUUGGAUGGUGACCUUUGCCUGGCUGAGACUGAGAAUGUUGGAUCCCAAAUGGCCUGAAGCUUCCUGUCUGGCAGAAGCUGUCUCCAGCAACUUAAAGAGAUCAACCUCCCCUUCCCCGGGGAUUACAUCAUGACCUCACAGACGAGAUGCUCCACAGCUGACCAUUGUUUUUCUCAAGAUCUGUCCCCAUCACCCCUCGUUGUCUCCUGGCUAAUGACCAGAGUUAGGUCUGAGCACAGCUUCGGUGGGGAAGUACACUCCCUGCUCCAAGAGAAAACAAUCUAUGUGUCAGAGGACUUAUAGGAACUGACAAAUGUCUAUCAGCAAAGACAUGUUGGGGUGGAUCUUGAGAGUGUUAGAUUGUCAUGGUCACCUAGAGCUGGUCUUAAAAGUCUGUUGGAGUGACUCUUUGACAUUUACACGGGAUCAUGGUCUCCAAUUGAUAAGGCAGAGAUGACAGGCUAUGAGAAAGGAAAAUCUAUAGUGGUUGCCUUCAUAUGUGAAGAACAGCAGUAUACAUUCACUGUCUACAUGUCUGCAAGGACCUUGCUCAUCCUGACAUGACACAGAACAUCACUAUGACCCACCUAUUGAUGACGUCAUGCUACUUGGACUUGCUGAUCAGGGAGUGCCUUCAGCAGAAUGAUUUUGGUAACUUGGGACUCCCUUGGGGAAUACAGCCAUUACACUUUCCGUCCUGCUGUGUGGCAACACUGCUUCUGAUGUUUUCACAGGCCCUGGAUAUGGUAGUGCUGGGGGUUUUGUCUUCCCAACUUUUUAAACAUAACACGGAUGCUAUUUCUGGUAUCCAUAGAGGGAGCAGUGGGUUCAUUGGAAGUAUCUCAGGAGGAGCAUUUUUUCUAUAUAGAAAAGAGAGGAUGAGAGAUUCCUUUAAGUUCCAAAAACUGGCAUAAAAUUGAUUAGUUAAAAAAAAGUGCUAUUUGUUCCUGUAUAAUUUAUCUGACCACAGAACCGCAUUCAGCAAAGGGCACCAUGACCUCUUCGGGGAAAUGGAGCAACCUGAACACCUGAUUCAAAUUUUCUGGCCUGAAGGCAACUCCAGUAGAUGACUUCUGUCUGUGGUGAUGUAUAGAUCGAAGGACAACAGCAGCUCAUUAAGGGAGAAGUAUCAAGAGAAUGAAGAAUACAACUUUAACAAUGGCGAAAGCGGAGUCUCAAACUGCUGACCUUCAGGUGUAUUUUCUUGGGCACUAUCAUGGCCAUGAGAAUGGCCUCACAUCUCUCAUGGCGGGGGCCGUAAUUGACCUACAGCCCCAGCUGCUUUGUUCUGAAAUCCAUCACUUGUUGGCUCUGAGGUCACACUUCCUAUGACUGAGCAAGGCGGAUCCUGGCAGAUGUAGCCAUAGCUCGCCUGGGGACAGGAUCUGCUUCACUGAUGGGCCGCUUUGGAAUUUAAUGGGCUUCUGUGGAACAUGGACUAUAUUUUCCUGGAAAAUGGAAUAUGAAAAUAGCGGACAAUUUC
ensembl:lncRNA